ACCUGCGGAAGGAUCAUUGUCGUGACCCUGACCAAAACAGACCGUGAACAUGUCAUCCAUGCUGCCGGUUGAUGGGGGCUUUGCACCUAUCUCUCGGUCUGGGGCCACCGACCUUCUUCCCGAGGGACGGGGGCCCAAAAGAACCCACGGCGCCGUAUGGCGUCAAGGAAAACUGAUAUUGCCUUUGCUCGGGGCCGUGACCGGCUUGCCGGACGCACCCGUGCAGCAGUUGAUACGGAAAUUCACAUGACUCUUGGCAACGGAUAUCUCGGCUCUUGCAUCGAUGAAGAACGUAGCAAAAUGCGAUACCUGGUGUGAAUUGCAGAAUCCCGUGAACCAUCGAGUUUUUGAACGCAAGUUGCGCCCGAGGCCUUUUGGCCGAGGGCACGUCUGCCUGGGCGUCACACCGAAAGACACUCCGCACCGAUCCCGGUCCGGACGUGGUGUUUGGCCCCUCAUGCCCCAGGGUGUGGUAGGCCAAAAGAUGGGGCUGCCGGCGGUGCCGAUCACAGCACAAGGUGGAUGACGCAAGUUGUUCUCGGUGUUAGGAUCCGGACCACUAGCGGUGAUGUUAUUUACGGCCCCUCUGGACCCAUGGUUAGGAGCGCAUGUUUGCUCGUACCGCGACCCCAGGUCAGUCGGGACUACCCGCUGAAUUUAAGCAUAUCAAUAAGCGG
rnacentral:rRNA from 1 species